GUGGGAGCAUGGCUUGCCCGCGAUGCAGGCGCCUCGGUUUACGUUGAGACCGAGGUGACCCUGUCGCGGGCAAGCCAUGCUCCCAC
rnacentral:misc_RNA from 1 species